UCCUCCUCCCCAAUGCAUCACUCGACAGUCGACACUCCUCAUUUCUCCAUUUCCAGAGACGUAGAGAGAGAGAGAGAGUGAGAGAUGUCAGGGUGGGACGAGGGGGCAGUGUACUACAUCGACCAGGCUCACUCGUGGCGCGGCAGCGGUGAAGACCACGAUCCGGAGGUGGGGAGCCGACACUCCGUCCUCCAGAAGUUCAAGGAGUUCAUCCGUGGCUUUGAGACCGACGAGAAUGUUUUCCCCUACAGAGAAAGCCUCGUCCACAAUCCCAACAAGUCCCUUCUCGUUGACUUGGAAGACCGCGAUUCCUGCGACCCCGACCUCCCGGAUUUGCUCUGCUCCUCCCCCGCCGACUAGUUGCCUCUUUUUGAGACGGCAGCGUCGGAGGUUUUGGCGAGCUUGCGGUCGAAAGUGGCUGGAGAGACUGGAGAAAUGGAAGAUCCGGUGACCGGGAACGUUCAGGUCUUGCUGACGUCGAAGGAGGAUCCGGUCUCGAUGAGGUUUCUUGGGGCUCGAUCAAUAUAUAUCGAAACUUGUUAAAAUAGCUGGGAUCGCUAUAGCUGCAUCUAGGACUAAUGCAAAGGCGACAUAUGGGACUCUUAUCUGCAAGAACUGUAGAAAUUCAAAGCGAGUUCCUUGUCGGCCAGGCCUGGGUGGUGCAAUUGUCCCUCGCUCUUGUGAUCAUAUCCCUCAGCCGGGAGAAGAGCCAUGCCCACUUGAUCCAUGGCUUGUUGUUCCAGAUAAGAGCAAGUAUAUAUGUCGAUCAACAAACCUUGAAACUGCAGGAGAAUCCAGAGGAUGUUCCAACUGGGGAGCUUCCGAGGCAAUUGGAGUUUUGUACGGAAAAUUAAUGAAAUGAAAUAAUGAUUCAACUCAUUUAAUAGAUACAAACCUGGGUAUAUAAUAGAACAGUAGUUCUAUACACAGUCGCCGGAUGUAAUCGGGAUGCAGUCGGCUGACGUGGCGUUACCGCUUCUUCCAAAAAAAACGAAAAAUGAAAUACGAAAUAUGAAUGAAAACCAAAACCGGUGCAGAUUGAAAGCAUUUCCGAAAAGAGUGAUUUCCCGCUUCUUCCAUUCGCGAGCCCCCCAGAACUGAAAGGAGGAAGACUACCUCGUCGUGGGUGCAGAGAGCUGUUGCCGUUGAGUGGGUUGAUUUCGGGCUGGUCCGGUCUGCGUUGGAGUGGGUCAAAGGCCGAUCGUUGUUGUUGGUUUCAGUUGAGAUUGGGCACCAUGGGUCGUCAUUUUCGUGGGUUUUUCGUGUGGGUCUUCUUCGUCAGCAGCUUCAUUAGGUGUAAGAUCCAGUUUUUUCUUUUCUCAGUCUACAUUUCUUCAACCGUUUCUUCCUGUAUUGGAGUGUCCUUGCGUGAUUGCUACGUUUAUUGCUUUUCAUAUUCGGCUUGAAAUUGCCCCUUGGAAGUUCAAAACCGCUCUGAGAAAAAAGAGGUCGAGGUAAAGCACAUUAUUUUCCUUUGCAACUUGAUCUUUUCUGUCAUUCUUGCUCUUUCAUUUUUCUCCAUCACACGCCUACAUUUUUUGUUUCAGGUAUUGAUGAACCCUUUAGGUGAUUGGUUUUUUUUUUGGGAUUAUUGUUAUACUACAUUAUGGAUUUGUUAGCUCUGUCUUGCUCGAAACAGUUUAAAUUGCUUAAAAUAGAUAAGGUUUUGGUCUCUGAAUUGGGCAAUAUGUAAAAUACAAUGCUUUCUUUCCCUGUUCUAUUGUCUUUGUUUUCUCUUUUCGGUACCCUCACAGGUUUUGUUGCCAUCGUUUUUUGCACAUUUCCUUCAAAAUUAAAAGGAAUUUUGUUUCUUGAUUAGAGGAAGGUGUUAGGGACCCUUCUCUAUAUACCCUGCUUGUCUUCACAAGCUUGUAGGUCACAAAUUAAUUGACUACAAAUACUGAGGUUAUAAUUGAGUAAGGGUAAGCUUCUUUUUAUCAUUUUGGUCAUUGAUUUAUGAUUGCAAAAAAAUAAAAGAUCAAUUAAGAUGAUGGAUACAUUGUUAUUGACUAAUAUUAUGUGCUCUAAGAACAGAAGGAUCUAAUGCCUCAUAUUUUCAACCUCAAAAUCUACUUGUUUUAUUGUCAACUCUUACUUCUCCCAUUAAAGCAUUGAAGCUUUUAAUAGUAGUGGAACCCUCCAAUCGCAUCCCAUGAUUGGUAGUCAAGACAGUGUAAGAUUUUUAAACUUUACAAAUAACGUUGGUUAUACAUCAAAAGGUUAUGAUUUAUAUUUUCCAUUUUUCAAUUAUCAGAUAAAUUUUGACUGGAUGGCGCACAACCGGAGCUCUUUGGGUGGAGAUGGGUCACAAUAGUGGCAAAAUCAUGGUUAUUGAUUAUUGCACCAUUUUUAAAGGCUUUUUGUGAAGUAAUAUUUUGACGAUUUUGAUGAAAAACGCAUUGUAAUUAUUGGUUCAUUGAAGAGAUUUUAUAUGUGUCAAUCAUGUAAUUAUGUAUUUAUGGGUGAAGGAGGAGGUAUAUUUCUUUAAUUUUGUAAAAUUGGUGGUAUUUUGUGUAUAAUGUGUAAUUAUGAAAGUGGAGUGAAGGACUCGAUUAUAGCAAAAUUCCUUGGACAGAAAAUCAAUUUACUUGUUAUUGAGGAUAAACAGGUUAUGGCA